rnacentral:rRNA from 1 species
GCCAAUACAUGCAAGUCGAGCGAACGGACGAGAAGCUUGCUUCUCUGAUGUUAGCGGCGGACGGGUGAGUAACACGUGGAUAACCUACCUAUAAGACUGGGAUAACUUCGGGAAACCGGAGCUAAUACCGGAUAAUAUUUUGAACCGCAUGGUUCAAAAGUGAAAGACGGUCUUGCUGUCACUUAUAGAUGGAUCCGCGCUGCAUUAGCUAGUUGGUAAGGUAACGGCUUACCAAGGCAACGAUGCAUAGCCGACCUGAGAGGGUGAUCGGCCACACUGGAACUGAGACACGGUCCAGACUCCUACGGGAGGCAGCAGUAGGGAAUCUUCCGCAAUGGGCGAAAGCCUGACGGAGCAACGCCGCGUGAGUGAUGAAGGUCUUCGGAUCGUAAAACUCUGUUAUUAGGGAAGAACAUAUGUGUAAGUAACUGUGCACAUCUUGACGGUACCUAAUCAGAAAGCCACGGCUAACUACGUGCCAGCAGCCGCGGUAAUACGUAGGUGGCAAGCGUUAUCCGGAAUUAUUGGGCGUAAAGCGCGCGUAGGCGGUUUUUUAAGUCUGAUGUGAAAGCCCACGGCUCAACCGUGGAGGGUCAUUGGAAACUGGAAAACUUGAGUGCAGAAGAGGAAAGUGGAAUUCCAUGUGUAGCGGUGAAAUGCGCAGAGAUAUGGAGGAACACCAGUGGCGAAGGCGACUUUCUGGUCUGUAACUGACGCUGAUGUGCGAGAGCGUGGGGAUCAGACAGGAUUAGAUACCCUGGUAGUCCACGCCGUAAACGAUGAGUGCUAAGUGUUAGGAGGUCUCCGCCCCUUAGUGCUGCAGCUAACGCAUUAAGCACUCCGCCUGGGGAGUACGACCGCAAGGUUGAAACUCAAAGGAAUUGACGGGGACCCGCACAAGCGGUGGAGCAUGUGGUUUAAUUCGAAGCAACGCGAAAGAACCUUACCAAAUCUUGACAUCCUUUGACAACUCUAGAGAUAGAGCCUUCCCCUUCGGGGGACAAAGUGACAGGUGGUGCAUGGUUGUCGUCAGCUCGUGUCGUGAGAUGUUGGGUUAAGUCCCGCAACGAGCGCAACCCUUAAGCUUAGUUGCCAUCAUUAAGUUGGGCACUCUAAGUUGACUGCCGGUGACAAACCGGAGGAAGGUGGGGAUGACGUCAAAUCAUCAUGCCCCUUAUGAUUUGGGCUACACACGUGCUACAAUGGACAAUACAAAGGGCAGCGAAACCGCGAGGUCAAGCAAAUCCCAUAAAGUUGUUCUCAGUUCGGAUUGUAGUCUGCAACUCGACUACAUGAAGCUGGAAUCGCUAGUAAUCGUAGAUCAGCAUGCUACGGUGAAUACGUUCCCGGGUCUUGUACACACCGCCCGUCACACCACGAGAGUUUGUAACACCCGAAGCCGGUGGAGUAACCUUUUAGGAGCUAGCCCUUGAAGG